GACGAACCGUGCGAACGUUAUUCGGAAUCACUGGGCUUAAAGCGCGUGUAGGCGGAUGGGAACGUCGGCUUCUGAAAGCCCCCGGCUCAACCGGGGAAGUGGGGCCGAAACGACCCGUCUCGAGGGACGUAGGGGGAUCUGGAACUUCCGGUGGAGCGGUGAAAUGCGUUGAGAUCGGAAGGAACGCCCGUGGCGAAAGCGAGAUCCUGGACGUUUUCUGACGCUGAGACGCGAAAGCUAGGGGAGCAAACAGG
rnacentral:rRNA from 1 species